rnacentral:rRNA from 1 species
GACGAACGCUGGCGGCGUGCCUAAUACAUGCAAGUUGAGCGCUGAAGGUUGGGUCUUGUACCGACUGGAUGAGCAGCGAACGGGUGAGUAACGCGUGGGGAAUCUGCCUUUGAGCGGGGGACAACAUUUGGAAACGAAUGCUCAUACCGCAUAAAAACUUUAAACACAAGUUUUAAGUUUGAAAGAUGCAAUUGCAUCACCCAAAGAUGAUCCCGCGUUGUAUUAGCUAGUUGGUGAGGUAAAGGCUCACCAAGGCGAUGAUACAUAGCCGACCUGAGAGGGUGAUCGGCCACAUUGGGACUGGGACACGGCCCAAACUCCUACGGGAGGCAGCAGUAGGGAAUCUUCGGCAAUGGACGAAAGUCUGACCGAGCAACGCCGCGUGAGUGAAGAAGGUUUUCGGAUCGUAAAACUCUGUUGGUAGAGAAGAACGUUGGUGAGAGUGGAAAGCUCAUCAAGUGACGGUAACUACCCAGAAAGGGACGGCUAACUACGUG